rnacentral:rRNA from 1 species
UACGUAGGGGGCAAGCGUUGUCCGGAAUCAUUGGGCGUAAAGAGCGUGUAGGCGGCCAGAAAAGUCCGCUGUGAAAACUCGAGGCUCAACUUCGAGCUGUCGGUGGAAACUUUCUGGCUAGAGUCCGGAAGAGGAGAGUGGAAUUCCUGGUGUAGCGGUGAAAUGCGCAGAUAUCAGGAAGAACACCCGUGGCGAAGGCGGCUCUCUGGUACGUGACUGACGCUGAGACGCGAAAGCGUGGGGAGCGAACAGG